CAGUAGCCGCGGGAAUACGUAGGUGGCAAGCGUUGUCCGGAAUCAUUGGGCGUAAAGGGCUCGCAGGCGGUUUCUUAAGUCUGAUGUGAAAGCCCCCGGCUCAACCGGGGAGGGUCAUUGGAAACUGGGAAACUUGAGUGCAGAAGAGGAGAGUGGAAUUCCACGUGUAGCGGUGAAAUGCGUAGAGAUGUGGAGGAACACCAGUGGCGAAGGCGACUCUCUGGUCUGUAACUGACGCUGAGGAGCGAAAGCGUGGGGAGCGAACAGGAUUAGAUACCCCCGUAGUCCAUGUCUCUUAUAC
rnacentral:rRNA from 1 species